AAUAGAUACCCGGUAGUCCACGCCGUAAACGAUGAGUGCUAAGUGUUAGAGGGUUUCCGCCCUUUAGUGCUGCAGCUAACGCAUUAAGCACUCCGCCUGGGGAGUACGGCCGCAAGGCUGAAACUCAAAGGAAUUGACGGGGGCCCGCACAAGCGGUGGAGCAUGUGGUUUAAUUCGAAGCAACGCGAAGAACCUUACCAGGUCUUGACAUCCUCUGCCAACCCUAGAGAUAGGGUGUUCCCCUUCGGGGGACAGAGUGACAGGUGGUGCAUGGUUGUCGUCAGCUCGUGUCGUGAGAUGUUGGGUUAAGUCCCGCAACGAGCGCAACCCUUGAUCUUAGUUGCCAGCAUUUAGUUGGGCACUCUAAGGUGACUGCCGGUGACAAACCGGAGGAAGGUGGGGAUGACGUCAAAUCAUCAUGCCCCUUAUGACCUGGGCUACACACGUGCUACAAUGGAUGGUACAAAGAGCUGCGAACCCGCGAGGGUAAGCCAAUCUCAUAAAGCCAUUCUCAGUUCGGAUUGUAGGCUG
rnacentral:rRNA from 1 species